UACGGAGGGGGCUAGCGUUGUUCGGAAUUACUGGGCGUAAAGCGCGCGUAGGCGGACCUGCAAGUCGGGGGUGAAAGCCCCGGGCUCAACCUGGGAAUUGCAUUCGAGACUGCAUUGCUGGAGUACGGAAGAGGAAGGCGGAAUUCCCGGUGUAGCGGUGAAAUGCGUAGAUAUCGGGAGGAACAUCAGUGGCGAAGGCGGCCUUCUGGUCCAGUACUGACACUCAAGUGCGAAAGCGUGGGGAGCAAACAGG
rnacentral:rRNA from 1 species